UUUUUAAUUGAGAACUGGUAUGAAUGGGUGGAAGAGAAAAAAACUGGCUCAAUUUAAUUUUAAUUAGAAUUUUUUUUUUUAAGUUAAAAAGCUUAAAUAUUUUUAAAAGACGAGAAGACCCUAUAGAGUUUUAUAAAAUUUUUAUUUUUAGUAAUUUUAGUAUUACAUCAAUUAAUUGUAAAAAUUUUAUUUGAUUGGGGUGAUUGAAAAAUUUAAUGAACUUUUUUUGUUAUUAAACAUUGAUUUAUGAAUAAUUGAUCC
rnacentral:rRNA from 1 species